GACGGGACUGGGAGAGGGAAGGCGGAGUUACAAGAGGGAGGUCGGCCCCAUCUUGAAAUUCGAGUAAUCCCCGAGGAAAAGAGACAAAGCGGGACGAGGGGGAAGGGGAGAAGAAAGACGCGGAGGCCGGGGCUGGUGACGGCCUUACAAGUAGAGAUCACUCAUCCAAAGGAGCAGAUUAGCCGACGACGCUGCUUUCCGGGAGAGUUUCUGUCGCGGCCGCUCGGAGGGAGACGACGAGGAGGAGUUCCGGCGUGGCCUAUGGAGGGGUGACCUUUCCUCAGGACCGACUUCGAGGAGGACCAGGCGCCGAGCGCUGUUCGCCGCGCUGGGGGACGGACGGGCUCGGGAGGCCCUCGGGCCUCGCCCCCGUUUCCCAGAUGAGGAGACUGAGGCACCGAGAAGAAUAACGCCGGUGAGGCAGCCGAGGCCCGGAGAAGAAUAACGCUG